UCUGACCUCAAAUCAGGUAGGAAUACCCGCUGAACUUAAGCAUAUCAAUAAGCGGAGGAAAAGAAACUAACAAGGAUUCCCGUAGUAACUGCGAGUGAAGUGGGAAAAGCUCAAAUUUGAAAUCUGGCAGUCUGAUUUUUCAUCUUGGCUGUCCGAAUUGUAAUCUAGAGAAGUGCUACCUGUACUGGACCGUGUAUAAGUCUCCUGGGAUGGAGCAUCAUAGAGGGUGAGAAUCCCGUCUUUGACAUGGACUCCCAGUGCGUUGUGGUAUACUUUCAAAGAGUCGAGUUGUUUGGGAAUGCAGCUCUAAAUGGGUGGUAAACUCCAUCUAAAGCUAAAUAUUGGCGAGAGACCGAUAGCGAACAAGUACCGUGAGGGAAAGAUGAAAAGUACUUUGGAAAGAGAGUUAAACAGUAUGUGAAAUUGUUGAAAGGGAAACACUUGAUGUCAGUUGUGUUAGCUAGGAUUCAACCKGGCUUYUUYU
rnacentral:rRNA from 1 species